rnacentral:rRNA from 1 species
GACGACCGCUGGCGGCAGGCCUAACACAUGCAAGUCAGGCGAGCGGCGGACGGGUGAGGAAUGUAUGGGGAUCUGACUGAUGGAGGGGGAAAACUACUGGAAACGGUAGCUAAUACCGCAUAACAUCACAUGAAACCAUAUGGGAUUAGAUUGUAGGUAAGGUAACGGCUUACCUAGGCGACGAUCCAUAGCUGGUCUGAGAGGAUGAUCAUCCACACUGGGACUGAGACACGGCCCAGACUCCUACGGGAGGCAGCAGUGGGGAAUAUUGCACAAUGGGCGCAAGCCUGAUGCAGCCAUGCCGCGUGUAGGAAGAAGGCCUUCGGGUUGUAAAGUACUUUCAGUCGGGAGGCGUUACCGACAGAAGAAGCACCGGCUAACUCCGUGCCAGCAGCCGCGGUAAUUC